GAGAGAGAGAGAGAGAGAAAAGAUAUAAUCUUUUUGAAGCAUCCAUUAAAAACAAACCCUCAAAAAUCGAAUCCACCAACACGAAACAUAAUUUUAAUUGAAAAAUUGAAACUGAAAACAAAGAAUAAGGGCUAAUUAAACGAGAAUCAUAGAAAGAGUGAGGUUAUCAGAGGAGUUCCAACCUGGAAAGGUGAAGAAGGCUAAG
rnacentral:misc_RNA from 1 species